AUUGAACGCUGGCGGCAUGCCUUACACAUGCAAGUCGAACGGUAACGGGCCUUCGGGUGCCGACGAGUGGCGAACGGGUGAGUAAUACAUCGGAACGUGCCCGAUCGUGGGGGAUAACGAGGCGAAAGCUUUGCUAAUACCGCAUACGAUCUACAGAUGAAAGCAGGGGACCGCAAGGCCUUGCGCGGACGGAGCGGCCGAUGGCAGAUUAGGUAGUUGGUGGGAUAAAAGCUUACCAAGCCGACGAUCUGUAGCUGGUCUGAGAGGAUGAUCAGCCACACUGGGACUGAGACACGGCCCAGACUCCUACGGGAGGCAGCAGUGGGGAAUUUUGGACAAUGGGCGCAAGCCUGAUCCAGCCAUGCCGCGUGCAGGAUGAAGGCCUUCGGGCUGUAAACUGCUUUUGUACGGAACGAAAAGCCUUCUUUUAAUACAGGAGGGUCAUGACGGUACCGUAAGAAUAAGCACCGGCUAACUACGU
rnacentral:rRNA from 1 species